CAAUAGCGUAUAUUUAAGUUGCUGCAGUUAAAAAGCUCGUAGUUGGAUUUCGGGUGGGAAUGGCCGGUCCGCCGUUUCGGUGUGCACUUGCUACGCCCACCUUGCUGCCGGGGACGUGCUCUUGAGUUCACGCUCGGGACACGGAGUCGGCGAGGUUACUUUGAGUAAAUUAGAGUGUUCAAAGCAGGCCUACGCUCUGAAUACAUUAGCAUGGAAUAACACGAUAGGACUCUGGCCUAUCUUGUUGGUCUGUAGGACCGGAGUAAUGAUUAAGAGGGACAGUCGGGGGCAUUCGUAUUUCAUUGUCAGAGGUGAAAUGCUUGGAUUUAUGAAAGACGAACUACUGCGAAAGCAUUUGCCAAGGAUGUUUUCAUUAA
rnacentral:rRNA from 1 species